rnacentral:rRNA from 1 species
GACGAACGCUGGCGGCGUGCUUAACACAUGCAAGUCGAACGGAAAGGCCCUGCUUUUGUGGGGUGCUCGAGUGGCGAACGGGUGAGUAACACGUGAGUAACCUGCCCUUGACUUUGGGAUAACUUCAGGAAACUGGGGCUGAUACCGGAUAGGAGCUCCUGCUGCAUGGUGGGGGUUGGAAAGUUUCGGCGGUUGGGGAUGGACUCGCGGCUUAUCAGCUUGUUGGUGGGGUAGUGGCUUACCAAGGCUUUGACGGGUAGCCGGCCUGAGAGGGUGACCGGCCACAUUGGGACUGAGAUACGGCCCAGACUCCCACGGGAGGCAGCAGUGGGGAAUAUUGCACAAUGGGCGGAAGCCUGAUGCAGCAACGCCGCGUGCGGGAUGACGGCCUUCGGGUUGUAAACCGCUUUCGCCUGUGACGAAGCGUGAGUGACGGUAAUGGGUAAAGAAGCACCGGCUAACUACGUG